AGUUAAUGGAAAGUCCCCACAAAGAUGGCCGCUCAAAUGUGUGUGUUUGUGUGUGUCUGUGUGUCUGCGUGAGUGUAUAGAUGUGCAGUCACUUCUCGCUUCACAUGCACGUCCCGCUUUGAUUCCAUGUGCUGUUGAUUAAUUUCAUCUCGCCGCUGCAAAGCGACACUGACCAACAUCAGUGCGAGGCGGAAGCAGGCAGAGCGAAGGCGGGAGGGCGGCAGGGAGGCUUUCGCCUGAUGUCCUAGACCAGAGACAACUGCUAAUUCAUCAGCUGAAGGGAGAUAAUUAUUGUCAGAGCUGCUGGUGGGCUGGAGACUCUUCCGGGUGAGCGGGUUUUCUUCAGUUCUCGCAGGAGGAAAAGCGUAGUCUGUACAUUUGCUCGUCGUCUUUGUGAUGGAAAUCCUGCUGCAUCUCAGCGGGAUGACGGCUUCAGAUGACAGAGCCUUCACGUGAUCUGCUACCCAGUACAGCAUGAGGAUGGCUGCAUCUGGAAGGUUUAUCACCUGUUUGCUGCUGAUGCUACACUCAACUAGAGCCCAGAAUCCCUCUGAGGACUCCUCUACCUCCUCCGACAUCUUGCCUAGUCCUCAGAGCCUCAUCAGCCUCUUCCUCCUGGCCCUGACUGUCACCUUGUCUGGCACCGUCUACCUGUGGAUCCUCAGAUAUGUGUGCAUCGGCUGCUGCCAGCCCGUCACAGUUGGCCCGGAGUCUGAGGCUCUGGCAGUGAUGGUGUGAAGACGUCAAGUCGUAAUUAGAUCCUGGGAGUUAACAUGCUUUUUUUUUUCUAAUUGUACAUUUUAAUUUGCUUUGCUCGUGAGAACAGAGGGACGGUGAAGGUGGUAGGGGGAUGUGGCUCACCACCAAGGGGGUGGCUGUAGUUGGAGAAACUUGAGUUUUUUUGUGAAAAGUGUACUUACUAAAUCCCACAAAAGUGCAAAUUAAUAUUUAUGAAGUUGACGUUGGGGCCUCUGACAGAGAGGUUUGCUUGGGACUCCAUUAAUUCAAGUGAUGCCAAGGUAAUCAGAAUGACACUAAAUAUGCUUGUGAUUAACAGCAUAGCUAUAUUCACUGUGUGCUAAGCCAAGUAUUUGUUACAGAGAUAGAGAUUCAGAAAAUAAAAUGUGACAGUCUUCAUUCAGUUGGCCUCUUGACCUCUCUGCAAAGAAACCAUUUGAAUUUUAUACCUAUUUUUUAAUGUUUAACUUCCAGAACAGUUCACGAUGUUGAAAAUGUAAAGGACUCUGAGUUGUUGGGUUUUUUUUUUACUUCCUUUAAAGGGGCAGUAUUUUUGUGUUUUUCAGGCACAUAGUGCCAUUUUAUAGCAUAACGAAAUAACUGAACUUCAGUUGUAAUAAAAUGCUGUUAAGUCAAAUAUGACUUAAAAGAAAUUUUGCUUCCUAAUUUAACGCCUUGAAAUUGUGUCACUGUCUCUUUAAAUCUUCUGCUCUUUCUGAAACUCCGUUCACUUCAGAAAGUCGUCGCAACGUCUUUCCUCCAUUAACCCUGUAACAGUGUUUUUACCAGCGUUGCUCUGAGAAGUAGAUGCGCAGUUCUACCAGGUGUUUGCUAAUUGCUGCUGGGUGAGUCGCGAGAGUCUGCGAAGAAGCUGCGUCGGCGCUAGCGCCACCCAAGGCGUUUAGCACAGGUUGCCAUGGAGAUGAAGGGAUCUCUCAAACAUACCUGAAAGAAUCAAGGUAACACUCCGGGUAUGUUCAUAAAGACGUCACAUUACAACAUGAGGUAAAGCUUAAACAAAGUCAGUUUUACAUAAUACUGCCCCUUUAGAAGCAUGAGAGGUGGUCUGGUUUGGUUUUAGGGUCCAGUUUAAAGCCAGCGUGUUUUAGCUAAUUCUGGAGAUACCAUUUACACUGCAUAGCAAGUUUGAGGAAACAAAGCAAAUUUGGUAAUCUGUGAUAUUUAGAUUCAUGUAACUGAUAUUUUUUUUUACCUUUGGUUGCGCUAAGCCCAUUUAGCUAACAUGUUAGCAAACGUGUCUGUUUUAAAGUUAAGCACACAAAACCCAAUGCUAUUAUUCAUUAGUGUCAUAAUAAUGACUACUGAAUUGUUUAAUUCAGUAUUGGUGCCAUUGAUGCCAAUUAAUCUGGUUUCUGUCAAUAAACAAAAAUAAUAGCAACCAGCUAAUCUGCUAGUUGCUAACUUGACCUCAGAGUUGUUAUCUGUCCAAAGAUAUGAUUUAGAAGUAGAAGAAAUGCAGUAUUGUAGGGCAAGAUUUUAGGGUACCUCUGGUACUGAAAGACCAAAAAUAAACCGUAAGUGUGGAAAUAAGUUGAAUAAGCUAACAGUUAGCUAUAAAGGGCUUAAACACGCAAGAACUGUGGUAAUCUUACAAUGAGUCACACAAGCAUGCAGAUAUGUUGUUGUUUUUUUGAAAAAAUAAAAAAAUACUUGUAAUGUUGAAAUUGAAACACUUCUUUUUUGUCCAAAUCCAAGUCAUUUGAGACCAGGCAUUUGUCUAUGCCAAGUCCAGUCCAAUACUGUUUAAAUAGAAUUAAAUUAGCGCCAUGUGUUAUGUUGGCGAACUUUGUAACUUUAAAUGGUAGUGACAGUACACACACCAUUUGGUACACAUGAUCAAUGGGAUUAUGUCCUGACAUUCUGAAUUUUAAAAAUUGUCCAGAACAUUCAUAACUUGGUGGAUAAUAUUAUGAGUGAAGCUGAGAUAAAAUCAUAACCAGGGUACCUAAUAAUUUGUUUUAAAGCAAAACCUGCAAAUUAAUUAUACCAGUUGAAUAAACUAGUUGUUUAUGCAGGUGAAAGUAUAAUAAUUAAAGACUCAAUUAUCCUCUCAGUCAUAUUUUUUAAAAAUGAGAGUACUGUUAUUGUGGUCUACUCUAUAACCAAUUUGUCUACAAUUUGUAUUAUAAUGCAAACAUUUCAUGAAACAAAUGCAAGUUUUUGUUUAAAUAUGGUAAACACCAGAUCAAGGUGGUGCUGUAAAGGGUUCUGUUUACAUCUUUUACAACGUCCCACAUUUCAUUCAUAAAUAAAUUAAAUGUCUGUUCAGCCUCUGCCUUUGGAUGAAUAGGAAAAUAAUAUUUCAGAUGCCUGACUGAUGGACUGAGGGUAUCUGUUAGAAACCGACCGUCAAAUCUACAUUUUAACAGAUCGCUCUCAUAAUUCAGCAGCCACACGUUUCCUGAAAUCUGGCAGAAUGAAUAAGUGAUCUGAGAGAAUUUCGAGCAGCCUCCCGGCUUAACGGCGGCCCCAUUUGAUAUUUUAGCCCGCAAUUAGUCAUGCAUCCACAAAAUCCACAGCUUCUCCAUCACAUGUGUGCUUUCUGAGGGACUCAUCUUUGGAGCAGUAACUUCCAUAAAUCAUGCUCUUGGUUCUUUGCAUCCACAGCCCCUGUUGAGUCCCACCUUUUUUAAGGCUCAGACUGAUGUCAAAGUCUUCAAUUCGCUCCGACAUCGCUCUGAUCUGACUGACAGGCUGGACUCUGCAGCGGCCACUCUCAGGCAAAGUGAUAUACAUGUUGUAAGAGACGGAUAAUGAGCACGUGUUUCUUGUGUUACAAGAUUAUGAUAUCAGAUCAGAUUUGACGAGAACAGUAUCUCAUCCCGUUAUGUCCAGUUUGUCAACAAACACACAUAUUGUAAGGUAAAAAAGAAAAAAAAAUCCUUUUAGCAUGUCUGGACACCCUGAAUGCCUCGAAAUAAUAUGAAUAAAGAAGAAUUUCACAUGUUUUUUUUCUAUAAUGUCAAACUUCAAGAGCUUGUGUGAAGCUGCUUGUUUUAUAUCCUUACUUAUACUGUACUGUAUCACUGUAAUUCUUAUAGUAAUUAAGUAUUUUUGAUGAACUGUGUAAAUAAAGAUCAUUAAAAUGUCUCAAACACUA